rnacentral:rRNA from 1 species
UACGGGGGGGGCAAGCGUUGCUCGGAAUCACUGGGCGUAAAGGGUGCGUAGGCGGGUCUUUAAGUCAGGGGUGAAAUCCUGGAGCUCAACUCCAGAACUGCCUUUGAUACUGAAGAUCUUGAGUUCGGGAGAGGUGAGUGGAACUGCGAGUGUAGAGGUGAAAUUCGUAGAUAUUCGCAAGAACACCAGUGGCGAAGGCGGCUCACUGGCCCGAUACUGACGCUGAGGCAUGAAAGCGUGGGGAGCAAACAGG